UAUAUUUAAUUUCUCGCCUUUCGUUGUGAGUUACUGCGCAGGCGUACUCCGCAGGCAGAGCAGCAGCUCUCAUCUUUCUCGAGUCGGGAUGUGUCCCCAAAGUCAUUAAAAAAAAAGUGACAACUUUUAUGUCCGCGACCGUACACCUAUACAGAUUCUCUGGCUCUAAAAUGGCGGCCAUGAGAGGACCUGACUUCGUUCUGUCUCUAUUUGCGGACUUUAAGCUCGGCUAACAGCGGACUAUGACACCUCUCCUUCUUCUCUCUGAAUAUAACAUAUAUAGGCUGCGUUCCGAAAUUUACUACCAGUGCUGAAAAUAUAUAGUUUGUCAUGUAUAUUAUAGAAUUUCAGUACUGGCAGUGAAUAGCCGGACAUACACACAGGACGCGACACGCUUGCCGCGUAGCGGAAGUUCACUAGGGAAUAUUGCGGUAGCCAAUCAUAGGGUUUGUUCUUUUCAGCUAAACUAGAGUGCGGUCCGGCAACCGCUACAAAUGCUUUGAAGCGUUUUUCUUUCUCGUUCUAUUUCUCGGAUGCAAACGAAGGAAGAGAGAGAAGUAAAAACGCUUCGAAGCAUUUGUAGCGAUUGAUGGACCGCACCCCUAGUGCUGCACUUGAACUGCAUUGGUUCAGAACUAGAACUGACGAGUAUAGCAAAAGUUCAUAGGUGCAGUGAUGCCAGAUAGAAUGGAAAAGAACGCCACAAUACAGAAAACAACAUGGUGUUACUCGUUGUCUAGUUAAUGAUUCUUCAGAUGAAAAUGAUUAUAUUUUAUCUUUAUUGCACCACUAUUACACGCAUAACCUAUCUGGGAUGAAGAACAUGAUGCCAACAGCACACGGUGUUUGUUUAUGUGCGGGAUUGUUUGCUGGAUGAAAAUAUUGCAUUCUGAUUGGUACAUUUCCAUCCAUCUUCGAAAAUGUACCAAAAUUAGAAAUAUGUAAGUCUUUUGUUCACCUCCGUGGCGGUUGGAUAUGGUUCCUGUAACUAUGCAUAUUUUUUUAUAUAAAUUUUGAUAUGAAUUUUGAUAUGAAUUUUUGAUUGAAUGCAUACAUAGGGACUGCAUAUGCAUUGUCUGUUUUUCUUUUACCUCCAUAUUACUGGAAAAUAGCCUUACAGAAUUUCAUCUAUCUACACUGUGAAAGUGGCGUUGGAGCAGUACCCUAUUUUGCCCCAGAGCCAUUUAUUGAAUUGAAUUGAAUAGAAAUACGUAGUAUAUAUCAUAUGUUCUAUGCUUAAAUUUCAACCCCAUGUUUGUUUCUUUCUAAGUUCUAACAAUUUAUAUUAAUCAAUAAUAAGAAACAGACUAUAUUUGUCUUCGAAGAUGAAUGAAAUUAUAUAAAAUAAAUAGGACCAUAACACAUGCAAAAACAUAAAUGGGAAGUAUAUACAAGAACACAUAAAUUAUAUGGUGUUAAGUACUUUAAAUACUCAGGACAAAAAUAUAGAAAGUAUAGACGAUUAUUAUUCUCACUCAACCAAAAUAAGCACCA